AAGCGUGACUGGCGGCUUGACUGGCCUGAGACACGCCUAGUCACAGUGAUGCUGAGCCUUGCUGAGACUGAGCACCCACCUGCCGCCCACGUGUUCACCGCCGAGUGCCACCUGGCUGAAUGGACCCAAAUACGGCUUCUUCAGGACACUGCAAACUGUCCAUCUGUCUCACUGCUGUGACAAAAUAUGUGGGACUGCACAACAUAUAUGGAAAAGAACAUUCAGCACACAGCUGGAGCGUGGCUGAUAAGAGAGCCCACAGUUUCUUCUUAUGCUUUAGCUCAACCACACAUCCCAACAGACUGGAGGCAGAAGCAGAGAUGGGAACUCAGUUGUCUUCUCUUA